AUGCCGCGCCCCUGCACCAUGUCGCCGGCAAUGGCCCUGCUACUAUGCUUGGCGAUGCUAUCCAGUGGCGGCUGGUGCGGGGGGUGCAGGGACGAUGAGAGGGCGACGCUUCUGGACAUCCGCGGCCAGUUCAACUACAACUCGCCGCUGGACUGGAAUAGCACAGAUUGCUGCCGGUGGGAGGGGGUGAGCUGCAGCUCCCCCACAGCUCGUGUCACCGGCCUCGACCUCAGCAUACUGCACAGUAUUGCCUCCAGCAGAGGCCUACUCAACACCACCAUGUUCCUCCCCUUGCAAGAGCUGCAGGAUCUGUCCCUGAGCGGCCUCAAGAUACAAGGAUGCACACCCGGUGCAGGCUUUGAAGUAUGGUCAAAAUUACACAGACUAAAAGUUCUUGAUUUAUCCUAUAAUGGAAAAUUAAUGGAGAGUGACGUCCCAUCCUUAGUCGCAAUUUUAUCGCUACGGUCCCUAUUCCUCAACGGGAAUGACUUCAGCUCCAAUAUGACAAUACAGCAACUGAGCAUAAUGAAGUUGGAUACUCUUGACAUAGGCAAUAAUGAUAUCAAAGGCACCAUACCUACAGUGGACUCUCAAGAUGUGAAGUGGUUUGGAACUGGUCAUUGUGAUGUCCUGAUUGGAACAAGAAGGCGAUGCUUUUCCAAAUCUUGGACUAGGUUAAUCUUAAGCCACUUUCUUAGUCAUUGUUAUCUGCAACUAGUAGGCAUAGGAGCGGCGGCGCGCCGCACCUGUGGUGGAGCCUAUGCAUGCAUCUACGUUGUUUUUUUAUUUUAA
rnacentral:rRNA from 1 species